GCUUAGCCCUAAACCAAAGCAGCAAAUCAACAAUACUGCUCGCCAGAGAACUACUAGCAACAGCUUAAAACUCAAAGGACUUGGCGGUGCUUUAUAUCCCUCUAGAGGAGCCUGUUCUGUAAUCGAUAAACCCCGAUAAACCUCACCAGUCCUUGCUAAUACAGCCUAUAUACCGCCAUCUUCAGCAAACCCUAAAAAGGAGUCAUAGUAAGCAAAACCAUGAAACAUAAAAACGUUAGGUCAAGGUGUAGCCUAUGGACUGGGAAGAAAUGGGCUACAUUUUCUAAUAUAGAACACAAACGAAAAUUUUCGUGAAAUCGAAAAUAGAAGGAGGAUUUAGUAGUAAAUUAAGAAUAGAGAGCUUAAUUGAAUAAGGCCAUGAAGCAC
rnacentral:rRNA from 1 species